GAAAUGCGAUACGUAAUGUGAAUUGCAGAUUCCGCGAAUCAUCAAAUUGUUGAACGCAAAUGGCACUCUUUGGCAUUCCGAAGAGUAUACCUGUUUGAGUAUCAUUUCCAACCUAUCAACAUUAUGUUGAUGUAGUGAGUAAUUGUAUUUUUUUGUACAUUACUUGGAAUGAAUAAUUUUAGUUUUACUAGCAAGUUAAGCGUACCGCUUUUUAUAAAAAGAGCUGGACGUGCUAGUAAAAAUACACAUCUUGAUCUCAAAUCAGGCAAGACUACCCGCUGAACUUAA
rnacentral:misc_RNA from 1 species